rnacentral:rRNA from 1 species
CUACAGGCUUAACACAUGCAAGUCGAGGGGCAGCAUGGUCUUAGCUUGCUAAGGCCGAUGGCGACCGGCGCACGGGUGAGUAACACGUAUCCAACCUGCCGUCUACUCUUGGACAGCCUUCUGAAAGGAAGAUUAAUACAAGAUGGCAUCAUGAGUCCGCAUGUUCACAUGAUUAAAGGUAUUCCGGUAGACGAUGGGGAUGCGUUCCAUUAGAUAGUAGGCGGGGUAACGGCCCACCUAGUCUUCGAUGGAUAGGGGUUCUGAGAGGAAGGUCCCCCACAUUGGAACUGAGACACGGUCCAAACUCCUACGGGAGGCAGCAGUGAGGAAUAUUGGUCAAUGGGCGAGAGCCUGAACCAGCCAAGUAGCGUGAAGGAUGACUGCCCUAUGGGUUGUAAACUUCUUUUAUAAAGGAAUAAAGUCGGGUAUGGAUACCCGUUUGCAUGUACUUUAUGAAUAAGGAUCGGCUAACUCCGUGCCAGCAGCCGCGGUAAUACGGAGGAUCCGAGCGUUAUCCGGAUUUAUUGUGUUUAAAGGGAGCGUAGAUGGAUGUUUAAGUCAGUUGUGAAAGUUUGCGGCUCAACCGUAAAAUUGCAGUUGAUACUGGAUAUCUUGAGUGCAGUUGAGGCAGGCGGAAUUCGUGGUGUAGCGGUGAAAUGCUUAGAUAUCACGAAGAACUCCGAUUGCGAAGGCAGCCUGCUAAGCUGCAACUGACAUUGAGGCUCGAAAGUGUGGGUAUCAAACAGGAUUAGAUACCCUGGUAGUCCACACGGUAAACGAUGAAUACUCGCUGUUUGCGAUAUACUGCAAGCGGCCAAGCGAAAGCGUUAAGUAUUCCACCUGGGGAGUACGCCGGCAACGGUGAAACUCAAAGGAAUUGACGGGGGCCCGCACAAGCGGAGGAACAUGUGGUUUAAUUCGAUGAUACGCGAGGAACCUUACCCGGGCUUAAAUUGCAGAUGAAUUACGGUGAAAGCCGUAAGCCGCAAGGCAUCUGUGAAGGUGCUGCAUGGUUGUCGUCAGCUCGUGCCGUGAGGUGUCGGCUUAAGUGCCAUAACGAGCGCAACCCUUGUUGUCAGUUACUAACAGGUUCCGCUGAGGACUCUGACAAGACUGCCAUCGUAAGAUGUGAGGAAGGUGGGGAUGACGUCAAAUCAGCACGGCCCUUACGUCCGGGGCUACACACGUGUUACAAUGGGGGGUACAGAGGGCUGCUACCACGCGAGUGGAUGCCAAUCCCCAAAACCUCUCUCAGUUCGGACUGGAGUCUGCAACCCGACUCCACGAAGCUGGAUUCGCUAGUAAUCGCGCAUCAGCCACGGCGCGGUGAAUACGUUCCCGGGCCUUGUACACACCGCCCGUCAAGCCAUGGGAGCCGGGGGUACCUGAAGUGCGUAACCGCGAGGAGCGCCCUAGGGUAAAACUGGUGACUGGGGCUAA